rnacentral:rRNA from 1 species
UAAGAGGUCCCGCCUGCCCUGUGACUAUAUGUUUAACGGCCGCGGUAUUUUGACCGUGCGAAGGUAGCGCAAUCACUUGUCCUUUAAAUGGGGACCUGUAUGAAUGGCACGACGAGGGCUUAACUGUCUCCUCUUUCAGGUCAAUGAAAUUGAUCUCUCCGUGCAGAAGCGGAGAUACAACCAUAAGACGAGAAGACCCUGUGGAGCUUUAGACACCAAAACAGACCAUGUUAAACACCCUAAAACAAAAGGCCAAACUUAAUGCCCCCUGCCUUGAUGUCUUCGGUUGGGGUGACCGAGGAGAAGAACACAACCUCCAUGCGGAAUAGGAGUAACUCCCACAACCAUGAACCCCCGUUCUAAUCACCAGAAUUUCUGACCCUACGAUCCGGACGCCGAUUAACGAACCAAGUUACCCCAGGGAUAACAGCGCAAUCCCCUUUUAGAGCCCCUAUCAACAAGGGGGUUUACGACCUCGAUGUUGGAUCAGGACAUCCUAAUGGCGCAGCCGCUAUUAAGGGUUCGUU